UUUGGUUAAGUUAGAAAGGGCGCACGGUGGAUGCCUUGACACUAGGAGUCGAUGAAGGACGGGACUAACGCCGAUAUGCUUCGGGGAGCUGUAAGUAAGUUAGAAAGGGCGCACGGUGGAUGCCUUGACACUAGGAGUCGAUGAAGGACGGGACUAACGCCGAUAUGCUUCGGGGAGCUGUAAGUAAGCUUUGAUCCGAAGAUUUCCGAAUGGGGAAACCCACCAUACGUAAUGGUAUGGUAUCCUUAYCUGAAUACAUAGGRUAAGGAAGACAGACCCAGGGAACUGAAACAUCUAAGUACCUGGAGGAAGAGAAAGCAAAUGCGAUUUCCUGAGUAGCGGCGAGCGAAACGGAACAUAGCCCAAACCAAGAGGCUUGCCUCUUGGGGUUGUAGGACAUUCUAUACGGAGUUACAAAGGAACGAGGUAGACGAAGCGACCUGGAAAGGUCCGUCGUAGAGGGUAAYAACCCCGUAGUCGAAACUUCGUUCUCUCUUGAAUGUAUCCUGAGUACGGCGGAACACGUGAAAUUCCGUCGGAAUCUGGGAGGACCAUCUCCCAAGGCUAAAUACUCCCUAGUGAUCGAUAGUGAACCAGUACCGUGAGGGAAAGGUGAAAAGCACCCCGGAAGGGGAGUGAAAGAGAUCCUGAAACCGUGUGCCUACAAAUAGUCAGAGCCCGUUAACGGGUGAUGGCGUGCCUUUUGUAGAAUGAACCGGCGAGUUACGAUCCCGUGCGAGGUUAAGCUGAAGAGGCGGAGCCGCAGCGAAAGCGAGUCUGAAUAGGGCGUUUAGUACGUGGUCGUAGACCCGAAACCAGGUGAUCUACCCAUGUCCAGGGUGAAGUUCAGGUAACACUGAAUGGAGGCCCGAACCCACGCACGUUGAAAAGUGCGGGGAUGAGGUGUGGGUAGCGGAGAAAUUCCAAUCGAACCUGGAGAUAGCUGGUUCUCCCCGAAAUAGCUUUAGGGCUAGCCUUAAGUGUAAGAGUCUUGGAGGUAGAGCACUGAUUGGACUAGGGGUCCUCAUCGGAUUACCGAAUUCAGUCAAACUCCGAAUGCCAAUGACUUAUCCUUAGGAGUCAGACUGCGAGUGAUAAGAUCCGUAGUCAAAAGGGAAACAGCCCAGACCGCCAGCUAAGGUCCCAAAGUGUGUAUUAAGUGGAAAAGGAUGUGGAGUUGCUUAGACAACUAGGAUGUUGGCUUAGAAGCAGCCACCAUUUAAAGAGUGCGUAAUAGCUCACUAGUCGAGUGACUCUGCGCCGAAAAUGUACCGGGGCUAAAUACACCACCGAAGCUGCGGAUUGAUACCAAUGGUAUCAGUGGUAGGGGAGCGUUCUAAGGACAGUGAAGUCAGACCGGAAGGACUGGUGGAGUGCUUAGAAGUGAGAAUGCCGGUAUGAGUAGCGAAAGACGGGUGAGAAUCCCGUCCACCGAAUGCCUAAGGUUUCCUGAGGAAGGCUCGUCCGCUCAGGGUUAGUCAGGACCUAAGCCGAGGCCGACAGGCGUAGGCGAUGGACAACAGGUUGAUAUUCCUGUACCACCUCUUUAUCGUUUGAGCAAUGGAGGGACGCAGAAGGAUAGAAGAAGCGUGCGAUUGGUUGUGCACGUCCAAGCAGUUAGGCUGAUAAGUAGGCAAAUCCGCUUAUCGUAAAGGCUGAGCUGUGAUGGGGAAGCUCCUUAUGGAGCGAAGUCUUUGAUUCCCCGCUGCCAAGAAAAGCUUCUAGCGAGAUAAAAGGUGCCUGUACCGCAAACCGACACAGGUAGGCGAGGAGAGAAUCCUAAGGUGUGCGAGAGAACUCUGGUUAAGGAACUCGGCAAAAUGACCCCGUAACUUCGGGAGAAGGGGUGCUUUCUUAACGGAAAGCCGCAGUGAAUAGGCCCAAGCGACUGUUUAGCAAAAACACAGCUCUCUGCGAAGCCGUAAGGCGAAGUAUAGGGGGUGACACCUGCCCGGUGCUGGAAGGUUAAGGAGAGGGGUUAGCGUAAGCGAAGCUCUGAACUGAAGCCCCAGUAAACGGCGGCCGUAACUAUAACGGUCCUAAGGUAGCGAAAUUCCUUGUCGGGUAAGUUCCGACCCGCACGAAAGGUGUAACGAUUUGGGCACUGUCUCAACCAGAGACUCGGUGAAAUUAUAGUACCUGUGAAGAUGCAGGUUACCCGCGACAGGACGGAAAGACCCCGUGGAGCUUUACUGUAGCCUGAUAUUGAAUUUUGGUACAGUUUGUACAGGAUAGGCGGGAGCCUUUGAAACCGGAGCGCUAGCUUCGGUGGAGGCGCUGGUGGGAUACCGCCCUGACUGUAUUGAAAUUCUAACCUACGGGUCUUAUCGACCCGGGAGACAGUGUCAGGUGGGCAGUUUGACUGGGGCGGUCGCCUCCUAAAGUGUAACGGAGGCGCCCAAAGGUUCCCUCAGAAUGGUUGGAAAUCAUUCGUAGAGUGCAAAGGCAUAAGGGAGCUUGACUGCGAGACCUACAAGUCGAGCAGGGACGAAAGUCGGGCUUAGUGAUCCGGUGGUUCCGCAUGGAAGGGCCAUCGCUCAACGGAUAAAAGCUACCCCGGGGAUAACAGGCUUAUCUCCCCCAAGAGUCCACAUCGACGGGGAGGUUUGGCACCUCGAUGUCGGCUCAUCGCAUCCUGGGGCUGUAGUCGGUCCCAAGGGUUGGGCUGUUCGCCCAUUAAAGCGGUACGCGAGCUGGGUUCAGAACGUCGUGAGACAGUUCGGUCCCUAUCCGUCGUGGGCGUAGGAAAUUUGAGAGGAGCUGUCCUUAGUACGAGAGGACCGGGAUGGACGCACCGCUGGUGUACCAGUUGUUCUGCCAAGGGCAUAGCUGGGUAGCUAUGUGCGGAAGGGAUAAGUGCUGAAAGCAUCUAAGCAUGAAGCCCCCCUCAAGAUGAGAUUUCCCAUAGCGUAAGCUAGUAAGAUCCCUGAAAGAUGAUCAGGUUGAUAGGUUCGAGGUGGAAGCAUGGUGACAUGUGGAGCUGACGAAUACUAAUAGAUCGAGGACUUAACCAUAUAA
rnacentral:rRNA from 1 species